rnacentral:rRNA from 1 species
UACGUAGGGACCAAGCGUUUGUUCGGAUUUACUGGGCGUAAAGGGCGCGUAGGCGGCGUGACAAGUCACUUGUGAAAUCUCCGGGCUUAACUCGGAACGGCCAAGUGAUACUGUCGUGCUAGAGUGCAGAAGGGGCAAUCGGAAUUCUUGGUGUAGCGGUGAAAUGCGUAGAUAUCAAGAGGAACACCUGAGGUGAAGACGGGUUGCUGGGCUGACACUGACGCUGAGGCGCGAAAGCUAGGGUAGCAAACGGGG